GACGAACGCUGGCGGCGUGCCUAAUACAUGCAAGUAGAACGCUGAAGGAGGAGCUUGCUUCUCCGGAUGAGUUGCGAACGGGUGAGUAACGCGUAGGUAACCUGCCUGGUAGCGGGGGAUAACUAUUGGAAACGAUAGCUAAUACCGCAUAAGAGUAGAUGUCGCAUGACAUUUGCUUAAAAGGUGCAACUGCACCACUACCAGAUGGACCUGCGUUGUAUUAGCUAGUUGGUGAGGUAACGGCUCACCAAGGCAACGAUACAUAGCCGACCUGAGAGGGUGAUCGGCCACACUGGGACUGAGACACGGCCCAGACUCCUACGGGAGGCAGCAGUAGGGAAUCUUCGGCAAUGGACGGAAGUCUGACCGAGCAACGCCGCGUGAGUGAAGAAGGUUUUCGGAUCGUAAAGCUCUGUUGUAAGAGAAGAACGAGUGUGAGAGUGGAAAGUUCACACUGUGACGGUAUCUUACCAGGAAGGGACGGCUAACUACGUG
rnacentral:rRNA from 1 species